rnacentral:tRNA from 1 species
GACGAGGUGGCCGAGUGGUUAAGGCGUUGGACUGCUAAUCCAAUGGGCACUGCCCGCGUGGGUUCGAAUCCCAUCCUCGUCG